rnacentral:rRNA from 1 species
ACAGCAGCCGCCACGGUAAUACGAAGGGUGCAAGCGUUAAUCGGAAUUACUGGGCGUAAAGCGUGCGUAGGCGGUUUGUUAAGUCUGCUGUGAAAUCCCCGGGCUCAACCUGGGAAUGGCAGUGGAUACUGGCAAGCUAGAGUGUGUCAGAGGAUGGUGGAAUUCCCGGUGUAGCGGUGAAAUGCGUAGAGAUCGGGAGGAACAUCAGUGGCGAAGGCGGCCAUCUGGGACAACACUGACGCUGAGGCACGAAAGCGUGGGGAGCAAACAGGAUUAGAUACCCCUGUAGUCCCUGUCUCUUAUAC